AGGUUUCUCUCGUCUCUGAGCUGCCUGGCACCAUAAGGGGCGCCUAAAUAAUGUUCUGCAGGUGUUUUUAAUGCUCAGCCUGAUUGGUGCAAUUAGACUGACUGCAAUUAUUCAGUAUAAAGCUCUGACUGUGAGACGGAUGUUCCUAUCGCUCCAGUUCUGGUAUUUACAUGAAGAAUUUUGAGAGCAGAAAAACAGAACAUGUUCUGGUUCCGCCCGGUCUGUGACUGGAUGUGAUCAAGCCAACCGUGUUGCAGAAGGAACAUUGUUCACGGUUCAAUGUUUUUUGGGGAAUAUUUUUACCCCAGGAUUUUGUUAGAGGACAUCAGCGAACAAACAAGAUCAUGAAGACUAAGAAACACUUUAAUCAGAUUGAGUUUCUUCUGGUUUAGGCUGGAAGGUCGGUGCCUUGGCUUGAUGAAACCGGCUGAAUGAAGGAAGACGUUCAGACGCUGCUGAGAGGUCAGGUCGCUGUGUCAUCUGAUUCUCGCCUCGUUUAGGUUUUAUUUGCGACGCCUUCGUAUUCCUGAGCCUCCAUCAUCUACUACAAACUGGUCUCAUCGUCACAAACGUCCUUCUUAGUGGGAACCUUGAAGGUUCCUUUGAUGCCGAGACGGUUGGUGGAACGUUGAAGCCAUUGACGGAGGUGACUGACACCUGAGUGUGAUGUCUCUGAGGACGAAGCUGAACUGAGACGGCUGACUGACAGAAUAAAGCAGAGAUAAAAACACAGACAGUCUGCAUACCUGGGCAGCAGGCAUUUGCAUUUGACAUUUCAGGCCUUUCAAAGAUUCUCUUAAGAGCUGAAAACUGUUGCAUCGAGACGAGAAAGCUGUUCCGCCCAGAGUGAGUGCUGAGUUUACGUCCAGAAGUACAAAGAUAAUGUUGGUAAUCAAGAGUUACUGCAGUUUCCUUUGUCUUCUGCUUGAGAUCUACGGAAGACCAAUAGUGCCAAAGAAAAAAAAAGAAUUCUGACUUUUUUCCUGCACAAUUCUGACUUUAAACUGAAAUUUCUGGGUGUGCUGUGAUGGCGCAGGGGAACAGCACAACCCAUGUACUGAGGCUUUGGUCCUCGUGGUGAUGGUGGUCUCAGGUUCGAUUCCCGGCCUGGUGACAUUUGCUGCCCGUCUUCCCUCUCUCGUUACCCACUUUCCUGUCAAACUACUUCCAAAUAAAGGCCACUAGAGCCAACAAAACAUAAAAAAAAAAAAACUAAAAAAACCCCUGAAAUUUCUGACUUUAAGCUCCAAAAUGUCACUCGUCUUUGCAGAAUUCUAACUUUUUCUGUCACAAUUCUGUCUUUAAUCUUACAAUUUUUGGAUUAGGCCUAAAAUCUAACUCUCAGAAUUUUUACUUUUUCCGUCACAAUAAUCUCAAAAUCCUCACUUUUUUUUCUAAAAAUCCUGUCUUUUUUGUGAGCUUUUUCUCUAAUUCUGACUUUUUUUUCUCAAAUUUCGGACCAUUUUUUUCCUCCGUAUCCUAAUUUUAAACUCAGACGACUAAAGUCAGAAUUCCUUCUUUAUUUCAGUGGCUCUAAUCUUCUUCCGUAGAGACCGAACCAAGAAACAGGUUGGCCAAAAUGAAUUUUCUGUCAGGAAUCAAUGUUGACAGGAAUUUGUUGUCUUUUAUUUGGAAGAAGAGUUGCAUGGUGGCUUCUGAGGGAAAUAUAAAACGUCUCCUGUAACAGCAGCAGUGAACUGAGCCGUCCAUCCAGAGACUGAUGGCUGCAGCAGCAGACGCUACCUGCAGAUGAAGCGUUUUAAAUCCAGUCAGCUGCCAGCGGGUCCAACCAGUUGGUCACAGUAUGUGAGAGCAGCUAAUUAAAUCCUUUAAACUUCCUUAAAAAAAAAAUUUAGUUAUCUCUUGCUGACAGGUGGUGGCAACAAGUGAAGCCUUGAAUUUCUGACUUUGGCAAUCCGAGAGCGGGAGAUGAUGAAGACGCUCUGAAUUCUUUUAGUUUCCUUGGAAAGCAGCAAGGAGAUGAGAAAAGAAGGACAAGAUUAUUGUUUUGUUAUUUUGAACAGACCCUUCUGGAAGCCAACUCAAGUUUUUGCCUUUUUUGUUCAUUAUUGUUAUUUUAGUCUUUAAAAUACCAAAAU